UACGUAGGGACCGAGCGUUGUCCGGAAUCAUUGGGCGUAAAGAGCGUGUAGGCGGCCACUUAAGUCCUGCGUGAAAUCUUGCGGCUCAACCGCAAGCGGUCGUGGGAAACUGGGUGGCUAGAGUGCGGGAGAGGAGAGUGGAAUUCCUGGUGUAGCGGUGGAAUGCGCAGAUAUCAGGAAGAACACCCGUGGCGAAGGCGGCUCUCUGGGCAGUAACUGACGCUGAGGAGCGAAAGCGUGGGGAGCGAACAGG
rnacentral:rRNA from 1 species